rnacentral:lncRNA from 1 species
GGCAAGGCGAUAAUCCCCUCAAUUUUGCUUUUCCCCUCCUCAUUAUUCAAACCACCUUAGUCCUCGUCGUUAGCCGCUCCCUUGCUUUCCUCUUCAAACCUCUCCGCCAACCUAAAGUCAUAGCCGAGAUCGUUGUAUGUACAUCUGCAUUCAUUUAAUCACAUUAAAAGUUAUACUAACAAAUGUCUACAAAAUAUCCCUUAAGAUUUCAUAGAAAAAAACUUUAUCUUAAAAAUAGAAGUUGAUAACUAAUCAAAGUUGUAAAUUCAUACAUCAUGUUCUAACGGUUGAAAAUGCUAACAAAUGUCAUUUCCUUAAAUUAAUUAUGCAUGUAGAGUUAUUUAUAAUCCAUACUCCCUUUGUUUUUCACUUUCCCCUUGUUCCUUAAUAUAAGACCCUACCUCUUGCAAUUAUGUAUUUUUUGCAUUACUCCCUCUGUUUUUUAUUUAUACAUAUCAAACAAUAGCUAUGAAUAAUUUUGACAAAACAAUAUUUAUUACUGAAAUUAAACUUUUAAAACGACAAUUGAAAAUGAAGACUUUUAAUAUCGUGAUUUUUUUUUGGAUUAGAUAGUCUAGUGGUGAGGAAUUCAUUUUUAAAGUGAAUAAGUGGGGAGUCUGAGUUCGAACCCAACCCUUGUUCCUAUCAAUUGAGUUAUGCUCACGGGUACUACCGUGAUUUUAUUAUAGGUUGAGAGUGAUUUUUUUUUUUUUUGUUUUCUUUUUGAACUGCACGUUUGUAGGGUGGAAUUCUUUUAGGACCAUCAGCUCUAGGAAGAAACAAAGAUUACCUGCAACGUAUUUUCCCUCGAUGGAGCAUGCCAACGCUGGAAUCCGUCGCAAGCAUAGGUCUUCUAUUCUUUCUCUUCCUUGUUGGACUCGAGUUAGAUCUAAACUCAAUUCGCCGCAGCGGUAAAAGAGCAUUCAGCAUAGCAG